rnacentral:rRNA from 1 species
GGGGGUAGAGCACUGUUUCGGCUAGGGGGUCAUCCCGACUUACCAACCCGAUGCAAACUACGAAUACCGAAGAAUGUUAUCACGGGAGACACACGGCGGGUGCUAACGUCCGUCGUGAAGAGGGAAACAACCCAGACCGCCAGCUAAGGUCCCAAAGUCACAGUUAAGUGGGAAACGAUGUGGGAAGGCACAGACAGCCAGGAUGUUGGCUUAGAAGCAGCCAUCAUUUAAAGAAAGCGUAAUAGCUCACUGGUCGAGUCGGCCUGCGCGGAAGAUGUAACGGGGCUAAACUGUGCACCGAAGCUGCGGCAGCGACACUAUGUGUUGUUGGGUAGGGGAGCGUUCUGUAAGCCUGCGAAGGUGGCCUGUGAGGGUUGCUGGAGGUAUCAGAAGUGCGAAUGCUGACAUAAGUAACGAUAAUGCGGGUGAAAAGCCCGCACGCCGGAAGACCAAGGGUUCCUGUCCAACGUUAAUCGGGGCAGGGUGAGUCGACCCCUAAGGCGAGGCCGAAAGGCGUAGUCGAUGGGAAACAGGUUAAUAUUCCUGUACUUGGUGUUACUGCGAAGGGGGGACGGAGAAGGCUAUGUUAGCCGGGCGACGGUUGUCCCGGUUUAAGCAUGUAGGCGGAGGUUCCAGGUAAAUCCGGUACCUUUUUAACGCUGAGGUGUGAUGACGAGGCACUACGGUGCUGAAGUAACAAAUGCCCUGCUUCCAGGAAAAGCCUCUAAGCAUCAGGUAACAUUGAAUCGUACCCCAAACCGACACAGGUGGUCAGGUAGAGAAUACCAAGGCGCUUGAGAGAACUCGGGUGAAGGAACUAGGCAAAAUGGUGCCGUAACUUCGGGAGAAGGCACGCUGAUAUGUAGGUGAAGCCCCUGCGGGUGGAGCUGA